AUUGAACGCUGGCGGCAGGCUUAACACAUGCAAGUCGAGCGAGCGGCGGACGGGUGAGUAAUGUCUGGGAAUCUGCCUGAUGGUUGGGGAUAACUACUGGCAACGGUAGCUAAUACCGCAUACCAUCAGAUGUGCCCAGAUGGGAUUAGCUAGUAGGUGGGGUAAUGGCUAACCUAGGCGACUAUCCCUAGCUGGUCUGAGAGGAUGACCGGCCACACUGGAACAGAGACACGGUCCAGACUCCGUCGGGAGGCAGCAGUGGGGAAUAUUGCACAAUGGGCGCAAGCCUGAUGCAGCCAUGCCGCGUGUGUGAAGAAGGCCUUCGGGUUGUAAAGCACUUUCAGCGAGGAGGCGUUACUCGCAGAAGAAGAACCGGCUAACUCCGUGCCAGCAGCCGCGGUAAUUC
rnacentral:rRNA from 1 species